GACGAACGCUGGCGGCGUGCUUAACACAUGCAAGUCGAACGGAAAGGCCCUGCUUUUGUGGGGUGCUCGAGUGGCGAACGGGUGAGUAACACGUGAGUAACCUGCCCUUGACUUUGGGAUAACUUCAGGAAACUGGGGCUAAUACCGGAUAGGAGCUCCUGCUGCAUGGUGGGGGUUGGAAAGUUUCGGCGGUUGGGGAUGGACUCGCGGCUUAUCAGCUUGUUGGUGGGGUAGUGGCUUACCAAGGCUUUGACGGGUAGCCGGCCUGAGAGGGUGACCGGCCACAUUGGGAUUGGGAUACGGCCCAGACCCCUUGGGGAGGCAGGAGGGGGGAAUAUUGCAAAAGGGGGGGAAGCCGGAGGCAGCAACGCCGGGGGGGGGAUGACGGCCUUCGGGUUGUAAACCGCUUUCGCCUGGGACGAAGCGUGAGGGACGGUAAUGGGUAAAGAAGCACCGGCUAACUACGU
rnacentral:rRNA from 1 species